rnacentral:rRNA from 1 species
GAUGAACGCUGGCGGCGUGCCUAAUACAUGCAAGUCGAGCGAACAGAUAAGGAGCUUGCUCCUUUGACGUUAGCGGCGGACGGGUGAGUAACACGUGGGUAACCUACCUAUAAGACUGGGAUAACUUCGGGAAACCGGAGCCAAUACCGGAUAAUAUUUCGAACCGCAUGGUUCGAUAGUGGAAGAUGGUUUUGCUAUCACUUAUAGAUGGGCCCGCGCCGUAUUAGCUAGUUGGUAAGGUAACGGCUUACCAAGGCGACGAUACGUAGCCGACCUGAGAGGGUGAUCGGCCACACUGGAACUGAGACACGGUCCAGACUCCUACGGGAGGCAGCAGUAGGGAAUCUUCCGCAAUGGGCGAAAGCCUGACGGAGCAACGCCGCGUGAGUGAUGAAGGUCUUCGGAUCGUAAAACUCUGUUAUUAGGGAAGAACAUACGUGUAAGUAACUGUGCACGUCUUGACGGUACCUAAUCAGAAAGCCACGGCUAACUACGUG